rnacentral:rRNA from 1 species
AACGAACGCUGGCGGCAGGCUUAACACAUGCAAGUCGAGCGCCCAGCAAUGGGAGCGGCGCACGGGUGAGUAACACGUGGGAACAUGCCCUAUGGUUCGGAAUAACGCAGGGAAACUUGCGCUAAUACCGGAUAAGCCCUAACGGGGAAAGAUUUAUCGCCAUUGGAGUGGCCCGCGUUGGAUUAGCUAGUUGGUGGGGUAAAAGCCUACCAAGGCGACGAUCCAUAGCUGGUUUGAGAGAACGACCAGCCACACUGGGACUGAGACACGGCACAGACUCCUACGGGAGGCAGCAGUGGGGAAUCGUGGACAAUGGGGGAAACCCUGAUCCAGCCAUGCCGCGUGAGUGAUGAAGUCCCUAGGGUUGUAAAACUCUUUCGGCGGGGACGAUAAUGACGGUACCCGCAGAAGAAGCUCCGGCUAACUUCGUGCCAGCCGCCGCGGUAAAAC